AGGUAGCGAAAUUCCUUGUCGGGUAAGUUCCGACCCGCACGAAAGGCGUAACGAUCUGGGCGCUGUCUCAACAAGAGACUCGGUGAAAUCAUAGUACCUGUGAAGAUGCAGGUUACCCGCGACAGGACGGAAAGACCCCGUGGAGCUUUACUGUAGCUUGAUAUUGAGCACUGGUGGCACAUGUACAGGAUAGGUAGGAGACGAAGAAACCAGGACGCCAGUCUUGGUGGAGUCGCUGUUGGGAUACUACCCUUGUGUCACUGGGGUUCUAACCCGUGGCCCUUAUCGGGUCAGGGAACAGUGUCAGGUGGGCAGUUUGACUGGGGCGGUCGCCUCCCAAAGAGUAACGGAGGCGCCCAAAGGUUCCCUCAGAAUGGUUGGAAAUCAUUCGAAGAGUGUAAAGGCAGAAGGGAGCUUGACUGCGAGACCUACAAGUCGAGCAGGGACGAAAGUCGGGCUUAGUGAUCCGGCGGUGCUGAAUGGAAAGGCCGUCGCUCAACGGAUAAAAGCUACCCUGGGGAUAACAGGCUGAUCUCCCCCAAGAGUUCACAUCGACGGGGAGGUUUGGCACCUCGAUGUCGGCUCAUCGCAUCCUGGGGCUGUAGUCGGUCCCAAGGGUUGGGCUGUUCGCCCAUUAAAGCGGUACGCGAGCUGGGUUCAGAACGUCGUGAGACAGUUCGGUCCCUAUCCGUCGUGGGCGUAGGAAAUUUGAGAGGAGCUGUCCUUAGUACGAGAGGACCGGGAUGGACACACCGCUGGUGUACCAGUUGUUCUGCCAGGAGCAUAGCUGGGUAGCUACGUGUGGACGGGAUAAACGCUGAAAGCAUCUAAGCGUGAAGCCCCCCUCAAGAUGAGAUUUCCCAUUCGAAAGAAGUAAGAUCCCUUGAAGACGACGAGGUUGAUAGGUCAGGAGUGGAAGUGUGGUGACACAUGGAGCGGACUGAUACUAAUCGAUCGAGGACUUAACCAA
rnacentral:rRNA from 1 species